rnacentral:rRNA from 1 species
AACGAAGAUAGCAAGCAUUAUUCGGAAUCACUGGGCAUAAAGCGCACGUAGGUGGCGGCGUAAGUCGGGUGUGAAAUCCCUCGGCCUAACCAAAAAACUACACCCAAUACUACAUUACUUAAAAAUCAAAAAAAUACAUAAAAUUCCCAAUAGAACGGUAAAAUACGUUGAUAUCAAAAAAAACACCAACGGCAAAAACAAUACACUAAUUAACUUCUAACACUCAUAUACAAAAACCAGGGGAGCAAACGGG